UACGUAGGGGGCAAGCGUUGUCCGGAUUUAUUGGGCGUAAAGAGCGUGUAGGCGGCCUGGAAGGUCAGCUGUGAAAACUCGAGGCUCAACCUCGAGACGUCGGUUGAAACCACCUGGCUAGAGUCCGGAAGAGGAGUGUGGAAUUCCCAGUGUAGAGGUGAAAUGCGCAGAUAUCGGGAAGAACACCCGUGGCGAAGGCGGCUCUCUGGGACGGUACUGACGCUGAGACGCGAAAGCGUGGGGAGCGAACAGG
rnacentral:rRNA from 1 species